UCCUCGUGCGGUGGGGACGGUGGGAGGGGACGUGGAGGCAACGCAGCGAGCUCUCGUAGCUCAACGAGCGUCUCGACCAUCCACUCAAUGAGUGCGCCCUGACGUCUGAGGCGCCGGUCGAAGUCCCGAGCCACCUCACGCGCUACCGGAGGUAGGUCAGCGUAAACGUGCUGCGGGUACUGUGGAGGCUCAGGAGCUGGCUCAACUGGUGGUACGUGGACCUCCUCGACCCGGUCCUCCUGCGCCGGAUCAUCCUGAGCCUGAGGCUGAGGCUGAGGCUGAGCCUGAGCCUGAGCCUGAGCCUGACCCUCAGGCUGAUCCUCAGGCUCAUCGAUGCCCAGAGCCCGUCGCUGAGCCCGCCGAGCGGCCUGCUGAACAUCAGGAGGGGCUAAGAUCCCAGGCCUCGCCUCGAUAACAACCGGGAUGACCUCCGGCAACUCCACUGGCUGAAAAAUCAGCCCGUCAGCACCCCUGAACCGCAGACCGACAUCAAAGGUACGGGUGAUCUGCAUAGCGGAUACUGACGCGCGGCCCAACCUAGAUGACGGGACCGGAUCGGACAGCAGCGGAUCUAGCUCGGGCACGAUCCCUAGCGAUCGUGCAAUGGCAGUGAUAAACGAGCCAGUGUGAAGAAACCCGCGGAGCUGCCGGUGGUAUGCAGUAGCAAAGUACUCUGCCAGGCUGGCUGCUAGAUCGCAGGGCUGGCGGCGUAGUAGGCAGUAAAGAAAGAAAAGGUCACUAAGGUUGACCUUCUCCUUGCUGGAACCCCGCGGCACGAUAGUCGACGCAAUCACCUGGUGCAGGUAUCGGUACAAGGGAUCUACAAUGGUGGUGGCCUUUUGCCAGGAUUUCCCAAAGGGAACCCUGGAAAUGGCCCUCCAGAAACUAAUAAGCGUCUGCCUGUCCAUCAUCGUAACAGCCUGCGUAUACAAAUCAGUAUCAAGCUCAGGCUCAGUGUACAAACCUGUGUGGACAGCAAACUCCCGCACACUCAUCUCAAACUGCUGACCGGCCAGACGGAAUGUAACCUCGUGUACCGGAAAUAAAGGGUCCUCCACGUAAUCCGCCGGAUGCGGCGCGUAUGUAAACGUAGAGCAAAACUCGUACGUAAGCUCCGGGUACGAGUCCUCCAUCGCCAACUGAAAUAGGCGCGACCAAGGAGUAUCUAGCCCAACUAUCUCUCGCGCCCGCUCGAUCUCCCCCACGGUAGCUAGCAGCUCCCAGUCUAUACCUACGUGCUCCCAAUCGGUAUAGUGCGCAACCUAGCGCAUCUCCCUCUCGCCCGUGACCCCACCGGAAACUGAAGAUACGGACACUCCGGCUCCUCCUCGCCCCCUCCACUCCCUC
rnacentral:lncRNA from 1 species